CACGCUGUAAACGAUGAGUGCUAGAUGUUGGGGGUCACACCUCGGUAUCGCCGUUAACACAUUAAGCACUCCGCCUGGGGAGUACGUGCGCAAGCAUGAAACUCAAAGGAAUUGACGGGGACCCGCACAAGCAGCGGAGCAUGUGGUUUAAUUCGAAGCAACGCGAAGAACCUUACCAGGUCUUGACAUCACCUAGCAAGCCAUGGAAACAUGGCCCUCCUUCGGGACUGGGUGACAGGUGG
rnacentral:rRNA from 1 species